AUCUUUCUCAGCACCCAGGGCCAAUGCAGCAAAUGUGGAAAAAGAACAGUAAAACCAUCAAAUUAAGUGAAUUAAUUCAUGUGUCAUAACUUUCUGAUCAGUUACUGGGAUCUUUCUUUUUAACAUUGUUAAAGAUAUUUAUCCUCAUACUUAAAUUUUGGUCAUGUAACACCGCAUUUCAAAUGCAAACAAGUGCCUUGCUUUUGCUGAAUAACGUUCAUUUUUCAGUAGCAGUGAAAAAAUUACCCUGAUGCUUAGUACAGCAACACUUGAAAGCAUUAGUCUGUAUUUUCUGUUCACAUUAACUGUAAUGUGUGGAAAAUGUGGGCUCCAUACACUGUGCCAUACACUAGACACCCCGGUUCUGCUGGGGGGCCACUCCAUCAGGAGUGGGGCUGAAGGGGUGAUUCAGGCUGCCCAACUUCUGAAACCUCACAGCCUUUAGAAACCGAGCCUCUGCUGCCUUGGGAUGAACUGGACAUAGGCUGCACUGGUGGGUUCACUGCACCCCAAUUCUGCUUUGAAGUGCACUCUCACCUCCUCCCUAGCGCUGAGAGAGAAGCCUACGCUCCUGGAUUAGACACAUAAGAACACCAAGAAAAUAACAUGAAUCCUCUAUUUAUGAUUUUUUUCAAGUCCCCAAAAUAUUACAGUAAUUUAAAACAGUUAAUACUGAUUUUAGAAUAUGAAGCAUAGCAUGCUAUUAGUGCUGGAAAAUGUUAUAAAAGAGAAUUUUUACAUAAAAGGUAAAGCACAUGAGGAAUACGGUAGCAAACAGUUCAUCAGGAAGGGUACUGUAGGAAGACAGACGAGGUAUGCACCCUCUUACCAUCUUAAAUUUUCUUUGUGAUGACUUUUUCUGUUCUCUCAUAAAGAAAAAUCCUACAUUUCUUUAUUGAAGUCUCUUUAUAGACCUGAUAGAACCAGCAUUAACAGGAACAAGUAUUUUCUAGACUAAUGGGGAUGUUUAACCACUGCAUUGCAGUAUUGGGCGAUGCUUCUCAACAAGCUGUCUGUAAAGUCAGCAGACAGUCCUUCUUGUUUGCUGGCACAGUGGCUUAUUGUCAGGAUCAAUUUGAGAUGAAGUAAGAUGACUUCAGGUUUGUGCCUUUCCUUUUUAAAGCUUUGUUGCAUUUUCCUGCUGUAUUUCACAGGCAGCAGCUGAUCCUUGCAAGUUAAUGGAAUAUCAGAAAUACCAUGAACAAAUGGCACCAAACAAGCUUCAAUACCCAAACUACAGGAUAACAGAUGACAACGAUAUUUUAUGACAGAUUUGGUUAUGAAGAUUCCCUCUUCAGGAAGGAAUAUUUAUAUCUAAAAUGCACGUGACCAAUAGGUGAAUCAUGCUAAUGGGCCUCUUUCUUCACUGCGUUAUGCUUUGCACAGUCAGCUGUAUCUGUGGAAAACAAGCAACCAGUGUGCAGCAAAUAGUUGUAGAAAGCCAAUUUUGCAGUAUUUUAUGGUAGUUUUGUGAGAUUGCGGAGAGUGACCACACAGUUUCAAAGCAGUCACAUUUUGUGAUAGAUUUUAUUCAUCCUCAAGGAGUUAGAGAAAGAACAUUUUCAAAGCUCAAAAUGACAGGAAAGCAAUGAGAGGAGUCAUGGCACUGAGUUGUAUUGUUCUCUUACAGCCUACCAGUAAUCUGGUUGAAAGCCCUGUGUACCCUGGUGGCAGGAAUAACUGCUGGAGAAGGUUGCCUCUGCAAAAUCUCCCUGGAACAACAAUAAUACAUGCCAUAGUGGAUUAUGCACAUUCCAAAACAUUGUCAGAAAGGCUUAAAAAGGAGCUGAAGUUUCUGCUGCUGAGGCCAGAGCAUCAAGAGCUUUGGCAUGAUCAGCUCCUGGCUGUUCCUAAUGUACAGAAACUCGAAGUUACAAAUGGGAGCCACUUCUCUGAACAUCAAGUGAUAGCAAUUUUCAUAAACUAAAAAGCCUGAGGGACCAUUCUACUGCUACACAAAAAUGGGAAUAUGAAGCAGGUAAAUUGUAUGCCUGGUCCCGUAUCUGGAGGACACUGGACCAUUUCCAUCCACAGCAAACACAUAGAUCUUCAAAAGUUAAGGCACUAGAAAGCUGCUAACCCUUGUAGUCACUUCAGCGCAUUUUGCCCUGCUUUGAACAAGGCUGCAAGUCUGAAAGCAGAGCUUCCUACACCAGUUUAACAAGUUUAGCAAAACAGACAUUCAUGUAAUUCGUUUUUACCAUGAGAAAAAAAUAAAACAUCCACACUGCAAAGCUAGGACAAAACUAAAACUGAGCAACUGCCAUCAUUUUGUAAGGUUCAUAACUUCUGCAGAGUACAGCUGGUUGAGUAUUUGGGUGUUAGCAAUUUUGUACUGAGAUGUCUUUGGCUGGAGUAUUUAGUUUGUUUAACUCAUGUAGAGGUCAGCCUCACUCCCCCUGUUUUCAGAGAAUGUUACUGAGCCAAAAUCCAGCUCUUUCAGAAACCA